UACGUAGGGUGCGAGCGUUGUCCGGAAUUAUUGGGCGUAAAGAGCUUGUAGGCGGUUUGUCGCGUCUGCUGUGAAAAUCCGGGGCUCAACCCCGGACUUGCAGUGGGUACGGGCAGACUAGAGUGUGGUAGGGGAGGCUGGAAUUCCUGGUGUAGCGGUGAAAUGCGCAGAUAUCAGGAGAAACACCAAUGGCGAAGGCAGGUCUCUGGGCAGUUACUGACGCUGAGGAGCGAAAGCAUGGGUAGCGAACAGGAUUAGAUACCCU
rnacentral:rRNA from 1 species